UGGUGCCCAAUGUGUAUGCCCAGGUACCAGGGCCUCAGAGAAGAACAUCACUGAUGAGAGCAGCCAUAUCAAAAAGGAAAGAAAUAGAGGUGGUUGCAAGAAGGGAGCCUGCCACAGAAAAAAAGACUUUGGUAAAUGAGUGAGGGUAUGGGACAAGAAAUGAGUCAAUAUGAAUUGUUUGUUGAAGGCCUCAAGAAGGCACCUAAGACAGAAGAGAUUAGGCUUAAAACACAGGAUUUGUUAAAGUUUUUUGUCUUUAUUAAGGAAAUUUGCCCCU
rfam:Mesocricetus auratus contig207259, whole genome shotgun sequence.